AUACGUAGGUGGCGAGCGUUGUCCGGAUUUACUGGGUGUAAAGGGCGAGUAGGCGGGUAAACAAGUCAGAUGUGAAAUACCGAGGCUCAACUUCGGGGCUGCAUUUGAAACUGUUUUUCUUGAGUGAUGGAGAGGCAGGCGGAAUUCCCAGUGUAGCGGUAAAAUGCAUAGAGAUUGGGAGGAACACCAGUGGCGAAGGCGGCCUGCUGGACAUCAACUGACGCUGAGGAGCGAAAGUGUGGGGAGCAAACAGGAUUAGAUACCCUGGUAGUCCACACCGUAAACGAUGGAUACUAGGUGUGCGGGGACUGACCCCCUGCGUGCCGGAGUUAACACAUUAAGUAUCCCACCUGGGGAAUACGAUCGCAAGAUUGAAACUCAAAUGAAUUGGCGGGG
rnacentral:rRNA from 1 species